rnacentral:rRNA from 1 species
GACGAACGCUGGCGGCGUGCUUAACACAUGCAAGUCGAACGGCAAGGCCCUGCUUUUGUGGGGUGCUCGAGUGGCGAACGGGUGCGUAACACGUGAGUAACCUGCUCUUGUCUUUGGGAUAACUUCAGGAAACUGGGGCUACUACCGGAUAGGAGCUCCUGCUGCAUGGUGGGGGUUGGAAAGUCUCGGCGGUUGGGGAUGGACUCGCGGCUUAUCAGCUUGUUGGUGGGGUAGUGGCUUACCAAGGCUUUGACGGGUAGCCGGCAUGGGAGGGUGACCGGCCACAUGGGGACUGAGGUACGGCCCAGACGCCAACGGGAGACAGCGGUGGCGAAUAUGGCACAAUGGGCGGAAGCCUGAUGCGGCAACGCCGCGUGCGGGAUGACGGCCUGCGGGUUGUGAACCGCAUUCGCCUGUGACGAAGCGGGAGUGACGGUAAUGGGUGAAGAAGCACCGGCUAACUACGUG